CAAUAAAUAUACACAAAACUGACCUUAAACAGGAGUGAAACUGGCACUUUCAAGUCACUUUACAGUAUUGCCAAGCCCAAAUGUUCAAAAAUCAUG